AGAGGAUUCUGCAUGUGGAAGAAAUAACUGCAUAUUAAAGCCAACACGUGCUUCUCUGACGUCUCUGCUUGUGGACAUAAAGAUUCCAAGAGGAUUAACUGUCCACAUAACUGGAGUGAUUGGAAAGUUGCACUGAUGAUAUGGACUAAUGGCAGUAAGAGAACCAAGCCAGCUCCAAGGAGAAAAGUUAAAGUGAUGUGCCAUAUUUCACUACAUGUUCUUGUACUGUAUGCAAAAGAUCAACACCCUGAUUAAAGAAACAAAGAAGAAUGCAAAUCCCUUUAAAAAAGGAUAAAAUACUAUGCCUGUGGGACACUCAUCAAUGGAAAGCAAAAGUGCAUGUCCGAGGAUAGUGUGUGGAUCUUAAUUAAUACAUUGUAAAUGCUUUCUUACUAAUUUUCUUAUAUAUUUUUCUAUAUCAUAUUGAUAUGCCCAAUGCGAAAAACUAGUAUUUCUCCAGGCUACUUAAAUUUGCACUUUUGAUUUAUACAUUUAGAACCAGAUGCUGCAAAGUGUUGACCAGUUCCUUAACUGCCAAUAAAAUGUGUAGGAGUUGAAGGCAUUUCAUUACCUUCCAGCAGAUGAUUAACACCUCACCAGGGCAGACCUUUAGAGACAUUCCAUAUUAAAAAUGUACACCCCUGUCAGAAACUGGGCUUAUCCAAGGUCAUGAGAGAAUUAUUAGAGCUGAUGGAGUUGCUU